rnacentral:tRNA from 1 species
UAAUAAGAAGCUAUUAAGCAUUCAGUUUCGACCUGAUUCAAAGGUAAAUCUACCCUUAUUGA